rnacentral:tRNA from 1 species
GUGAUUGUAGCUCAGCUGGUAGAGCUCUGGAUUGUGGUUCCAGAAGUCGUGGGUUCGAAUCCCAUCAAUCACCCCA